GUGGCGCUGGCGGCAGCGGCGGUUAGGGGAUGUAACGGUCGCCCGGCUCCGGCGUGACGAUGGCGGCCGUAGGGUCCGGAGGCUAUGCGCGGAACGAUGCAGGGGAGAAGCUGCCCUCUGUCAUGGCGGGAGUUCCGGCGCGGAGGGGCCAGUCCUCCCCGCCCCCCGCCCCACCAAUCUGCCUACGGCGGCGGACGCGACUCUCGACGGCCUCCGAGGAGACGGUGCAGAACCGGGUGUCACUCGAGAAGGUGCUUGGCAUCACAGCCCAGAACAGCAGUGGCCUAACCUGUGACCCCAGCACAGGCCAUGUGGCCUACCUGGCAGGCUGUGUGGUGGUGAUUUUGGACCCCAAGGAGAACAAGCAGCAGCACAUCUUUAACACCGCCAGGAAGUCUCUCAGUGCUCUGGCCUUCUCCCCUGAUGGGAAGUACAUAGUGACAGGGGAGAAUGGGCAUAGGCCUGCUGUGCGCAUCUGGGAUGUGGAGGAGAAGAAUCAGGUGGCGGAGAUGCUAGGCCACAAGUAUGGUGUGGCGUGUGUGGCCUUCUCACCCAAUAUGAAGCACAUCGUGUCCAUGGGCUACCAACAUGACAUGGUGCUCAACGUCUGGGACUGGAAGAAAGACAUCGUAGUGGCCUCCAACAAGGUAUCUUGUAGAGUCAUUGCCCUCUCCUUCUCAGAGGACAGCAGCUAUUUUGUCACUGUUGGGAACCGGCAUGUGAGGUUCUGGUUCUUGGAAGUCUCCACUGAGACAAAGGUGACGAGCACAGUGCCCCUUGUAGGGCGCUCGGGCAUCCUGGGCGAGCUGCACAACAACAUCUUCUGUGGUGUGGCCUGCGGUCGGGGCCGGAUGGCGGGCAGUACCUUCUGCGUGUCCUACUCGGGCCUCCUCUGCCAGUUCAAUGAGAAGAGGGUGCUGGAGAAGUGGAUCAACCUGAAGGUCUCCCUGUCUUCCUGCCUCUGUGUCAGCCAGGAGCUCAUCUUCUGUGGCUGCACAGAUGGGAUAGUCCGCAUCUUCCAGGCCCAUAGCCUGCACUACCUCGCCAACCUGCCCAAGCCACACUACCUUGGGGUAGACGUGGCACAGGGCCUGGAGCCCAGCUUCCUCUUCCACAGGAAGGCGGAAGCAGUCUACCCAGAUACAGUGGCACUGACCUUCGACCCCAUCCACCAGUGGCUGUCCUGCGUGUAUAAGGACCACAGCAUCUACAUCUGGGAUGUCAAGGACAUCAACGGAGUGGGCAAGGUGUGGUCAGAGCUCUUCCACAGCUCCUACGUUUGGAACGUGGAGGUGUAUCCUGAGUUUGAAGACCAGAGAGCUUGUUUGCCAUCAGGAUCCUUUCUGACUUGUUCUUCAGACAACACCAUUCGCUUCUGGAACUUGGACAGCAGCCCUGAUUCUCACUGGCAGAAAAACAUCUUCAGCAAUACCCUGCUGAAGGUCGUGUACGUGGAGAAUGACAUCCAGCACCUGCAGGACAUGUCACACUUCCCAGACCGAGGGAGCGAGAAUGGGACACCCAUGGACGUGAAAGCCGGGGUGCGGGUCAUGCAGGUCAGUCCUGACGGCCAGCAUUUGGCUUCAGGCGACCGAAGUGGAAAUCUGAGGAUCCACGAGCUGCACUUCAUGGACGAGCUGGUCAAGGUGGAGGCCCAUGAUGCUGAGGUGCUGUGCCUGGAGUACUCCAAGCCAGAGACGGGGCUGACCUUGCUGGCCUCAGCCAGUCGGGACCGGCUGAUCCAUGUGCUGAACGUGGAGAAGAACUACAACCUGGAGCAGACGCUGGAUGACCACUCCUCCUCCAUCACCGCCAUCAAGUUCGCUGGCAACAGAGACAUCCAGAUGAUCAGCUGUGGGGCUGACAAGAGCAUCUACUUUCGCAGUGCCCAGCAGGGUUCGGAUGGACUACACUUUGUCCGUACCCACCACGUAGCAGAGAAAACCACCUUGUAUGACAUGGACAUUGACAUCACCCAGAAGUACGUGGCCGUGGCCUGCCAGGACCGCAAUGUGAGAGUCUACAACACUGUGAACGGGAAGCAGAAGAAGUGCUACAAGGGCUCCCAGGGUGACGAAGGGUCCUUGCUGAAGGUCCAUGUGGACCCCUCAGGCACCUUCCUGGCCACCAGCUGCUCUGACAAAAGCAUCUCAGUGAUUGACUUUUACUCGGGCGAGUGCAUUGCCAAGAUGUUUGGCCAUUCAGAAAUUAUUACCAGCAUGAAGUUCACCUAUGACUGUCAUCACUUGAUCACAGUAUCUGGAGACAGCUGCGUGUUCAUCUGGCAUCUGGGCCCGGAGAUCACCAACUGCAUGAAGCAGCACUUGCUGGAGAUUGACCACCGGCAGCAGCAGCAGCACACAAAUGACAAGAAGCGGAGCGGCCACCCCAGGCAGGAUACGUAUGUGUCCACACCUAGUGAGAUUCGCUCCCUGAGCCCUGGAGAGCAAACAGAGGAUGAUCUGGAGGAAGAGUGUGAGCCAGAAGAGAUGCUGAAGACACCAUCCAAAGAUAGCUUGGAUCCAGAUCCUCGUUGCCUGCUAACCAACGGCAAGCUGCCACUGUGGGCAAAGCGGCUGCUAGGGGACGAUGAUGUGGCAGAUGGCUCGGCCUUCCACGCCAAGCGCAGCUACCAGCCCCACGGCCGCUGGGCAGAGCGGGCCGGCCAAGAGCCCCUCAAGACCAUCCUGGAUGCCCAGGACCUGGAUUGCUACUUUACCCCCAUGAAGCCCGAGAGUCUGGAGAACUCCAUUCUGGAUUCACUGGAGCCACAGAGCCUGGCCAGCCUGCUGAGUGAGUCAGAGAGUCCCCAGGAAGCUGGCCGCGGGCACCCCUCCUUCCUGCCCCAGCAGAAGGAAUCAUCUGAGGCCAGUGAGCUCAUCCUCUACUCUCUGGAGGCAGAAGUGACAGUCACAGGGACAGACAGCCAGUAUUGCAGGAAGGAGGUGGAGGCCGGGCCUGGAGACCAGCAGGGCGACUCCUACCUCAGGGUGUCCUCCGACAGCCCAAAGGACCAGAGCCCGCCUGAGGACUCGGGGGAGUCAGAGGCCGACCUGGAGUGCAGCUUCGCAGCCAUCCACUCCCCAGCUCCGCCUCCUGACCCUGCCCCUCGGUUUGCCACGUCACUGCCCCAUUUCCCAGGAUGCGCAGGUCCCACAGAAGAUGAGCUGUCCCUGCCCGAGGGACCCAGCGUCCCCAGCAGCUCCCUACCCCAGACUCCGGAGCAGGAGAAGUUCCUCCGCCACCACUUUGAGACACUGACUGAGUCCCCCUGCAGAGAGCUCUUCCCCGCAGCUCUGGGAGACGUGGAGGCCUCUGAAGCUGAAGACUACUUCUUCAACCCACGCCUGAGCAUCUCCACGCAGUUCCUCUCAAGCCUCCAGAAGGCAUCCAGGUUCACCCAUACCUUCCCUCCCCGGGCAACCCAGUGCCUUGUGAAGUCUCCAGAGGUCAAGCUCAUGGACCGAGGCGGAAGCCAGCCCAGAGCAGGUACUGGCUACGCCUCCCCAGACAGGACCCACGUCCUCGCUGCAGGGAAGGCUGAAGAGACCCUGGAGGCCUGGCACCCACCACGUGAGUGCCCCAGUCCCAGACGGACAGUCCUGGGUUUCUCGCUCCCUGCCUUACGAGCCUGGCGUCCUGUGUCCCUGCUUCCUCCGUGCUGCCCACAGACAGGAAUCUCCCAACGCCCACAUCUGCACCCACCCCAGGCCUGGCUCAGGGUGUCCAUGCCCCCUCCACCUGUUCCUACAUGGAGGCCACUGCCAGCUCCCGUGCCAGGAUAUCACGCAGCAUCUCCCUCGGUGACAGUGAGGGCCCUAUCGUGGCCACACUGGCCCAGCCCCUCCGUAGGCCAUCGUCCGUUGGGGAGCUGGCCUCCUUGGGCCAGGAGCUUCAGGCCAUCACCACCGCAACACCACCCAGUUUGGACAGUGAGGGCCAAGAGCCUGCCCUGCGUUCCUGGGGCAACCACGAGGCCCGGGCCAACCUGAGACUGACCCUGUCAAGUGUCUGUGAUGGGCUCCUGCUGCCCCCCGUGGAUACCCAGCCUGGCGUCACCGUCCCUGCAGUGAGCUUCCCAGCCCCUAGCCCUGUGGAAGAGAGCACCCUGAGGCUCCACGGCUCUGCCUUUCACCCAAGUCUCCCAGCUCCUGAGUCCCCUGGCCUUCCUGCCCACCCCAGUAACCCCCAGCUUCCAGAGGCCGGGCCUGGCGUCCCUGGCGGCACUGCCUCCCUCCUGGAGCCCACCUCCGGUGCACUUGGUCUGUUCCAGGGCAGCCCUGCCCGCUGGAGUGAGCCCUGGGUGCCGGUUGAAGCCCUGUCCCCAUCUCCCCUUGAGCUGAGCAGGGUGGGGAACAUCUUGCACAGGCUGCAGACCACCUUCCAAGAAGCCCUCGACCUUUACCGUGUGUUGGUCUCCAGUGGCCAGGUGGACACCGGGCAGCAGCAGGCACGGACUGAGCUGGUCUCCACCUUCCUGUGGAUCCACAGCCAGCUGGAGGCUGAAUGCCUGGUGGGGACUAGUGUGGCCCCAGCCCAGGCUCUGCCCAGCCCAGGACCCCCGACCCCACCGACGCUGUACCCCCUGGCCAGCCCAGACCUGCAGGCCCUGCUGGAACACUACUCGGAGCUGCUGGUGCAGGCCGUGCGGAGGAAGGCACGGGGGCACUGAGGGCGCAGCCCCUCCACCGCAGCCCUGCUGCUUCUGAGGACUUAGGUAUUUUAAGCGAAUAAACUGACAGCUUUGA